UACGGAGGGGGCUAGCGUUGUUCGGCAUUACUGGGCGUAACGCGCACGUAGGCGGCUUUGUAAGUUAGAGGUGAAAGCCCAGGGCUUAACCCUGGAAUUGCCUUUAAGACUGCAUCGCUAGAAUCGUGGAGAGGUGAGUGGAAUUCCGAGUGUAGAGGUGAAAUUCGUAGAUAUUCGGAAGAACACCGGUGGCGAAGGCGGCCAUCUGGCUCGGUACUGACGCUCAGGUUCGAAAGCGUGGGGAGCAAACAGG
rnacentral:rRNA from 1 species